UAAACUAGUAUAACAGAGGAACAUGAUUACCGUACAAAUGCACCAUACGUUUCUCAGUGAUGAAUACUAGACGUUUCCUUUUUAAACAGUAUUCUUAGUUACAAUACUAUCGAACGUUUCUGUAUCAAUCACUAGACUAGUCAUGAUUCUUGUAGCCCGGUUUGUUUUAAUAUAAAAAUGAUUGAAACCUUUGAGAAAUAUACACUAGACUAAAUUGUAUUUAGAAUAAGAAAACGAAUGUCUUAGUAAUUUUCUUUACUAUUAUUAUGUUGUUUUUUUAAUAAAGGCUAGAGGUAAACGGGAGGGUUGAGAUCUCACAAAACAUGUUUAACCGCGCCGCAUUUUUGAGUCUGUCCAAAGUCAGGUGCCUCUGGCCUUUGUGAGUAGUGUUGUAUGAUUUUUAAAUUUAGUUCCUUUUUUAUGUUUAGGAGUUUAGUAUGACGUAACUGAACUUUUUUCGUUUAGGGGCCUGCUGAAGCAUUUCUUUCGCUGUGUUGAAUACCCAUGUAUGCCUUCAGCUGUUCUCUGCUCUUUGUUCCAGUUGUUGUCUCUUUGACACAUUCCCAAUUUCCCUUCUCAAUUUUAUUCUUAGAAACUUCUACAAGAUUAUAUUGUGUCCUUGAUGUUUUUCACUUUUGAUCAGAUCUUUUAAGUUUUAAAGAAACCUGAUUUUCUUCUUGGUAAAGGCCAAUCCACUCUUCAUGACAUGGCUGCUGCUGUUCUUCUUCAGGUCUCUAAUGCUAAUGUCAGCGAUGAACAGAGAUACUUACUUUAAUUUAAAUGUCUGUUUUACGGCUAAACAACCAGCGGACGAAUAUUUGACAAAUUUAAUGUACUUGAAUUUUUACUUUUUUUUUUUUAAAUAUUGGAUGCGCCACUGCGGGACGUCUUUAUAGAAGCACAUUUU
rnacentral:lncRNA from 1 species